UUACGGCCAUAUCACGUUGAAACACCUGUUCUCGUACGAUCACCGAAGUUAAGCAAGGUCAAACUUGUCCAGUACCUCGAUGGGUGACCUCUUGGGAAUACCAGGUGCUGUAAG